rnacentral:lncRNA from 1 species
AUUGUUGAGAAUUAAACCCGUUCCAAUUAAAUCCCGUGCUUCCAAAAUUAAGAGUCGUGUUUUACAAAGUAACAAUUUCUUUAGUCAAGCUUUCAUCCAGAUCUCGACACCUGGCAUCAUUAUGUCCAUUAGAUCAAAUUAUAGUGACUUGCAAUAUAAAAAAUCAGGUGAAAUUCAUUCUGGACGGCAGCACCAUUUUGGACAGAUUAAUUUUUCAUUUGAAGUCCGAUCUUGCUCUCUCUUUCUUCCCUACAAAAAGCCCUUCUUCUUGGUGAAUUUGGGUCUUUUAUUUUUGGAGAUUUUGGGGAGAAAUAUUCUUGGUUUUGGGACAGAUUGUUGUUCGAUUUUCUUGAUUGGUUGGGAACUCCAUUUUUGAGUCAGCUUCUUGGAUUCUAUUUCUUAGUGAAGAGCUGUAUUUUUCUUGGUGAUUGGGGCAUGAUUUCUCGAGUUUUUCAGCAAAUAAAAUCUGUAAAACCCUUGAAAUACUACAGAUACAUAUGGUAGUGGUGCUGUUCUAUUUUUGGUUUGUAUAAACCUGUGUGGUUUGAAGUGAGUAGCUCGGGUUUUUUGAAGAUCUUAGUGGUCUAGUUCAGUUCCUUAGUGGAACCUGAUUUGCUGUGUGAUUUGUACAUGAAUUAAGUGAUUCAUUGUUGGCAAAAACUUGUUUGGUAGAUCUAUGUGAUCGGUGUUGAUUCCCUUGUGGAAUAUUGACCUGCCUUGUGAUUUCUCUUGAAAUAAGCCUCGUUUAUUGUGGGAAGUUCGACAUUUGUGAGACCAGUUAGUUCCUGUGUGGAAUAGUGGUUGCCUUGUGUAGUUCUAGAAAAGAUAAGUCCUAUAUUUGGUUCUUUGUAAAUUUCUGGAACAUUGUUGUAUUUUGUUGCCUGAUUUUUCGGGCUUUAUAGUGCAACCGAGCUUUAUCCAUUUUAAUGGAUGCUCAACAGGGGAAUAGGGAUUAGAAGUGGUCACCGAACCUCUGGGGCUUCGGCCGAAAAAUUCUUGUGUUCAUUUACAAUAUUCUGCGCUUUAUUUUAUUGUUUGUUGUGUUUGUUUGAAUAUUGAUUAAUUCUUGGACGCUCCUUGACUUUUCAGUGGUAUUAGAGCAAUCUUGGAAUACUGGAGCGUCUCUGAUUCAUGUGAAUUGACUGGAUUCUGAAACUUUCCUUCAAACUGCAGUAAACGUUGGCUAGUGGAAAUUGAGUUUUAUCAAACUCGUUUGGUGAGAUCUUUCCUGCAUUCUGUAAUUAGCUUUUACAGUAGGAAUUGAUAUCUAUGUUCUUUGUGAUUCUGUCUCUUAUACUUAGUGUUAAGUGUUUACUGUUCUGUGGAAAUUGUAUAAGUGUAUAGGUCAUUGGCCCCUGAUCCUUUAGUCUGCCUGCAGUAUUUUUAUUGUGUGUCCCUGUGUGUUCUUGAAAUCAAACUUGUGUACUGUGAACUUUCUUGGUGAAUCUUGUUAUGGCUACUAUUAAGUUUGAAUUGAGCAUGUUUAAUGGGAGGGGGGACUUAAAUAUGUGGAGCCAAAAAAUGAGGGCUAUCUUAAUGCAAACAAAAUGUGCUAAAGCCUUAGAUAAUUCAUGGCCUGUUGAAAUUUCUGUUGCUAAAAGAACUGAGUUAGAAGAAAUAGCGUGGAGUACUAUUUUCUUGUACCUUUCGGACAAUGUGAUCAGGUGUAUAGGUGAAACUAAAACUACUGAAGAACUGUGGACCAAAUUGAAAGCUCAAUAUGAGCCAAAAAUUGUUCCAAACAAAUGUUUUUUGCUAAAACAAUUCUUUUCUUUCAAAAUGGACCCUUUGGUUGACUUGGAUGAAAACUUGGACAGAUUUACAAAAUUGACCUAGGACCUUGCCAACUGUGAUGAGAAAUUAUCAGAAGAUUAGCUGGUUGUGGUCUUGUUAAACCCCAUUAGUGAUAAGCAUAGAGACCUAAAGAAUGCCUUGGAAUAUGGAAGAGAUGAGCUUACCACAUAUAUCAUUAUAAAUGCCUUAAGAAAUAGGGUUCUUGAAUUAAAAUCAGAUUCUAUCAACCAUCAAAGUGGAGAAAGUCUUUUGUUAAAAUGCAAAAAUGUUGGCAAAUCUAAUUUUCAUUCAAAAUUUCAAAAUGACCAUAAGAAAAGGAACAAUGACAAAAUGAAAUCCAAAACUAAGGCAAAUGGAAAGAAAUGUUUUUAUUGUGGUAAGUUGGGUCACUUUGCAAAGGAUUGUUACAAAAAGCAAAAUGAUUUGAAAGGAAAGAAGCUAAGUGAAGGUACUGCUGUAAUGUCCUAUGAUAAGAAACAAAUUGAUAAUGGCCUGAUUCUUUUAAAUGUUGAAAGGAAUGUGAAUCAAGAAUGGAUUCUUGAUUCAAGUUGCACUUUCCACAUGUGCCCUAAUAAAAACUAUUUUAUGGAUUUUGAACAAACAAAAGGAGGUCAAGUUAUAAUGGGAAACAACAUGACUUGCAAAGUUAAAGUUAUUGGAACAAUAAAAUUGCUUUUGGAAAAUAGCAGAAUUUUAUUAUUAAAAGAUACCAGAUUUGUUCCUGAAUUAGAAAGAAACCUUGUGUCUCUAGGAAUGUUGGAUAACAUGGAGUUUGACAUAAAAUUGAGUCAAGGACACAUAAAAAUCUUUAAGGGUAGUGAUUUGAUCACUUCUAUCCCAAAGAGACAUAGUUUAUACUUUCUAAAUACAAAACCUUUAUUGGGUCUUAUAGCAGCAGUUAUAAAUGAUGAAUUUAAUCUUGUAAAAUUAUGGCAUUGUAGACUUGGUCACAUUGGGGUAAAAGGUUUAAAGGCUUUACAAAACAAAUGUGUAUUUGGAAAAUCAAAUAUUGGUGAAUUGGCUAAAGGUGAACAAUAUUUGAUUGGAAAGCAAGUUAAAUUACCUUUUCCCACUAGUACUCAUAAAUCAAAGCAAAUUUUAGAAUAUUUACAUACUGAUUUGUGGGGUCCUGCAUCCACCCCUACAUUGUCUGGUUACAAGUAUUACUUGCUUAUUAUUGAUGAUUUCUCAAGAAAAAAUUGGGUAUUUCUUUUGAAAACUAAAGAUGAAACAUUUACUAUAUUUAAAGAUUGGAAAACCCAAAUUGAAAAUCAAACUGAUUUGAAAAUCAAAACUUUGAGAACAGACAAUGGACUAGAAUUUUGCAAUUAUGAGUUUAAUGAUUUUUGCAAGUUGCAUGGCAUCUUAAGACAUAGAACUGUAGCAUACACACCCCAGCAAAAUGACAUUGCAAAAAGAAUGAAUAAGACUUUGUUGAAUAAAGUUAGAUGAAUGCUUUUAAGUUCGGGCUUGCCCAAAUUAUUUUGGGAUGAAGCUGUUAAAACUGCUGCAUAUUUGAUUAAUAGAAGUCCUACGAGUGCUUUAAAUUUUGAUGUGCCCGAAUCUGUGUGGACACAAAAGUCUGUAAUUUAUUCUUACUUGAAAACAUUUGGUUGUGCUGCAUAUGCUCAUCAAAACAUAGGUAAACUUGAACCUAGAUCACUUAAAUGUGUGUUUUUGGGCUAUGCUGAAAAUGUUAAAGGUUAUAGGUUGUGGGUUUAUGGGGGAAAAGGUUACAGGGUUAUCAUAAGAAGGGAUGUGGUCUUUAAUGAGUCAUGUAUGCCAUGUUUGGAAGGGAAAAUGAGAAUUUGACUGAAAAUGAUGUCUAAAUUGAGGUGGAGCCUAUUAAAAUUGAUAAUACCAGUUCUAUCCCCUUAGAAACAGUAACUAAUGAGGCUGACCAAAAUGAAAAUGAGCCUGAUUUGGGCGAAUCUGAUUUAUGUGAUGACAUAAAUAUACCUCUAGAUGAAUACCAACUCACUAGAGAUAGGGAUAUGAGGCAAAUUAGACCACCGGCUAGGUUUAAUAGUGAUGACUUUGUGUCUUUGUUCACUUACCAAGAAGAAAUUGAAUCUGAGCCUAGUUCCUAUCAUGAAGUCUUAAAAUCUAAAGAUUCUAAGCAGUGGUUGAGUGCUAUGGAAGAAGAAAUGUCUUCCUUGUAUAAGAAUGAAACUUGUGAAUUGGUUGACAAACCUAAGGAUAAGAAGUUAGUUGAUUGUAAGUGGAUUUAUAAAAUAAAGGAAGGGGAAGGUGGCACUAAUAAUAUUAGAUACAAAGCUAGACUAAUUGCCAAGGGUUUCACACAAAAAGAGGGUGUGGACUACGAUGAGAUUUUUUCCCCCGUGGUUAAAUAUACAACUAUAAGAUGUAUUCUUGCUUUAGUUGUGCAAUUUAAAUGGAAUCUUGAUCAACUAGAUGUAAAAACUGCAUUCUUGUAUGGUGAAUUGGAUGAAGUGAUCUACAUAAGAUAGCCUCUAGGAUUUAUUAAAGGAAAUCCUAAAAAAACUGUGUUUGUUGAAAAAUCAUUAUAUGGCCUAAAACAAGUUCCAAGACAAUGGUAUAAAAGAUUUGAUUCAAUUGUCUUAAAACUUGGAUUCAGUAGAAGCAAUUAUGAUACAUGUCUUUAUUGUAAAGGAAGUGGAGGUAAAGAUUCAUUGUAUCUUGUGCUUUAUGUUGAUGAUAUGCUUCUUGUUAGUGCUAAUAAAUUUGAAAUUGAUGGUAUCAAACACAAAAUAAAAUCAGAAUUUGAAAUGAAGGAUCUUGGUCCCGCUAAGAAAAUAAUUGGCAUGCAAAUUUUUAGAGAUGAGAAAUCUGAUUGCUUGUUCUUAAGUCAAUAAGAUUAUGUGAAUAAGAUCCUAAAAAGGUUUAAUAUGUUUGAUUGUAAACCUGUGACUUUAUCCCUUUCUAAUCACUUUAUAUUAACAUCUGAUUCGUGUCAUAAAACUGAAGAUGAACUUGACAGAAUGUCUAAAAUUCCUUAUGCUAAUGCUAUUGGUUUAGUCAUGUACUUAAUGGUUUGCACCAGACCUGAUUUGGCUUUUAGUAUUAGUGUUUUGAGUAGAUUUAUGGGAAAUCCUGGUGAAAUUCAUUGGGAAGCAUUGAAGUGGUUGUUGAGAUACUUAAAGGGUUCACCUAACUUGGGUUUGAUGUUUAAAAUGGACAAAGAGGGGAUAAUUUUAAAAGGUUAUACAUAUUCUGAUUUUGCUGGAAAUAGAGACAAAAGAAAAUCAACUUCAUCUUAUUUUUACACUUUGUGUGGUACUGUGAUAAGUUGGAAAUCUCAGUUACAAAAAAAUGUUGCUCUAUCUUCCACAGAGGCUGAAUAUAUUGCUGCCACUGAUACCAUUAAAGAAGGCAUAUGGCUGCAUGGUUUGUUGAAUGAACUUGGUUUUGUAGACACUAAUCCAAUACUAUAUUCUGACAAUCAAAGUGCAAUCCAUUUGAGUAAGAAUCCCAUGUACCAUGAUAGAACGAAGCAUGUUGAUGUAAAAUAUCACUUUAUAAGGGAUAUUAUAUCAAAAGGAUUGUUGAAAAUAAAUAAAAUACCUACUUUGUAUAAUCUAUUAGAUAUGGGAACUAAGGUAAUACCUUUAAAUAAGUUUCAAAACUAUUUAAAGAUGUUAUCUAUUUAUUCUUUUCAUUGAUUGUACAGGUACUUGGAGCAAAAGACAUUAUAAAUAUUGGUGAAGCUUGUGGGUGCACUAUAGUCUUAUAUUUUGGAAGCAAGGUGGAGAUUGUUGAGAAUUAAACCCGUUUCAGUUAAAUCCUGUGCUUCCAAAAUUAAGAGUCGUGUUUUACAAAGUAACAAUUUAUUUAGUCAAGCUUUCAUCCAGAUUUCGACACUUGGCAUCAUUAUGUCCAUUAGAUCAAAUUAUAGUGACUUGCAAUAUAAAAAAUCAGGUGAAAUUCAUUCUGGACGGCAGCACCAUUUUGGACAGAUUAAUUUUUCAUUUGAAGUUCGAUCUUGCUCUCUCUUUCUUCCCUACGAAAAGCCCUUCUUCUUGGUGAAUUUGGGUAUUUUAUUUUUGGAGAUUUUGGGGAGAAAUAUUCUUGGUUUUGGGACAGAUUGCUGUUCGAUUUUCUUGAUUGGUUGGGAACUCCAUUUUUGAGUCGGCUUCUUGGAUUCUAUUUCUUAAUGAAGAGCUGUAUUUUUCUUGGUGAUUGGGGCAUGGUUUCCCGAGUUUUUCAGCAAAUAAAAUCUGUAAAACCCUUGUAAUACUACAAAUACAUAUGGUAGUGGUGUUGUUCUAUUUUUGGUUUGUAUGAACCUGUGUGGUUCGAAGUGAGCAGCUCAGGUUUUUUGAAGAUCUUAGUGGUUUGGUUCAGUUCCUUAGUGGAACCUGAUUUGCUGUGUGAUUUGUAUAUGAAUCUUAGUGAUUCAUUGUUGGCAGAAACUCGUUUGGUAGAUCUAUGUGAUCGGUGUUGAUUCCUUUGUGGAAUAUUGACCUGCCUUGUGAUUUCUCUUGAAAUAAGCCUCGUUUUUUGUGGGAAGUUCGACAUUUGUGAGACCUUUGUGAUCUCAGUUAGUUCCUGUGUGGAAUAGUGGUUGCCUUGUGUAGUUCUAGAAAAGAUAAGUCCUAUAUUUGGUUCUUUGUAAAUUUCUGGAACAUUGUUGUAUUUUGUUACCUGAUUUUUGGGGCUUUAUAGUGCAACCGAGUUUUAUCCAUUUUAAUGGAUGCUCAACUAGGGAAUAGGCGUUAGAAGUGGUCGCCGAAACCUCUCGGGUUUCGGCCGAAAAAUUCUUGUGUUCAUUUACAAUUUUCUGCACUUUAUUUUAUUGUUUGUUGUGUUUGUUUGAAUCUUGAUUAAUUCUUGGACGCUUCUCGACUUUUCAACUAUUAUUUUAUUUAUUCAAGUAAUG